UAUGGUAUGUGCCAGCAGCCGCGGUAAUACGUAGGUGGCGAGCGUUAUCCGGAAUCAUUGGGCGUAAAGAGGGAGCAGGCGGCCGCAAGGGUCUGUGGUGAAAGACCGAAGCUAAACUUCGGUAAGCCAUGGAAACCGGGCGGCUAGAGUGCGGAAGAGGAUCGUGGAAUUCCAUGUGUAGCGGUGAAAUGCGUAGAUAUAUGGAGGAACACCAGUGGCGAAGGCGACGGUCUGGGCCGCAACUGACGCUCAUUCCCGAAAGCGUGGGGAGCAAAUAGG
rnacentral:rRNA from 1 species